AGGAACGGGGGGCUGAAGACGGCACCAUGGAAACCCCACGGGACGCUCUAACUCGUUUUGCGUCACGGAGAUUCCUGUGACCACUUCCGGAAGCAUGCCCAGUGGCCAUCUUUCUGAGGGGCUCUGAGCUCACUUCCGGAGCCCUGAGCGCGCACUUCCGCUUAGGUGCGAAAGUGGGCGGAUCUCUUAAAAGGGCAAUGACGUGCGUUGGCCUCUGUGAAAAUGAUGAGGAAGAUAAGUCAAACUUCGUUGAGUGCUUACAGUGUGGCGGGCAUUGUUCUAAGCAUUUUUUAUGCAUUAAGUCAUUUACUUCUCACAACAAACCCACAAGCUAGAUAAUUAAUUUGCCUGCGGUCGCACGAGUAAGCGGCAGAGCCUGAAGCCUGUGCUACUGUUUCGUGUGUUUAUUCUGAAAGCAUUUAAUGAACUCUGCAUUUGUAUGCUCUGUGACAUGCGCUGGAAGAGAAAGUCAUGGCGGAUGUUUAUUGCACAAUGUAUUGCCGAAUCCCUGGGGCAGUGGCAACACAGGAGGUGCCCCCACCCCAAACUGGGGCUGGGAGGAAGGUGUCAGGGAAGAUUCACUGAGGAGCUGAUGUUUAGCUGAAAGACAGUAGGGAUUUUCCAGGUAGACCUGGUGCAGAAAGUUAUUGCAGGUGGAGGGAACCAAACGUUUCGGGGCUCACAGGGGAGAGAGAGUAAGAUAAGUUCAGGGAAAUGAAAUGUUUCAUUGCUGCUCCAGGGGGAGAUUGCAGGAGAGAUGGUCUGGAAUUAGGCUGGGGCAAGAUCACACAGUAGAGGCCGUGGUGGUGCAGUGGCCGGACUCUCUCCUUCCACGGCGGAGACCUGGGUUUGAUUCCUGGCCAGUGCACCUCAUGCGCACCCACCACCUGUCUGUCAGUGGAGGCUGGCGUGUUGCUAUGAUACUGAACAGGUCUCAGUGGACCUUCCAGACUAAGAUGGGCCGGGAGGAAAGGCUUGGCAUCUACUUCCAAAAAACGGCCAAUGAAAACCCUAUGGAUCACAAUGGUCCGAUUUCAUUCCGUUGUGUACCGGGCCACCAAGAGCCCCGACUCAACGGUAGCUAUGAACAAAAUCACGCAGGACUUGUGUUUAGUUUUUUUUUUUUUUUCCCGGAAGCAAUGCUUGUGGGGGUCUCAUUAAAGGUUUUACGGGUGUGAAAAAGUCAGGUUCUUGUUUCAGAGGGGUCCAGGCGGCAACAAUGGGAAGAAAAUACUGGAGGGGGCCAGAUUGAAGUCAGGGAGGGCAGAAUGAACAAUUCCUAGUCACGGUGCCUUUUCUCUUGCCAUUUCUCCUGCCGCCAAAGACUCUCAUCUCUACCUUUUCCACUUGGGGCCCAGACCCUCCUGGUGACGUCCCGCCCAGGGGCGCACAGUCUUCCUCUGGCUCACCUGGGUCCUAUUGCGCUCCGACGCCCCCCGACUGGGAACCCUCCCGUGGCGCCCUCUGGAGCCGCCCUGUCCGCCCCAGGAUUAAAGCCGGACUGAGACUGAGAGCCGCUGGGAAUCUGGCGAAUCCGGUUCGGCUCGCCCGCCGCCUCCGUGUGUCACCUCGAUUCACUUUGCAGAACCGCAGUGACCUCAUCUCGGAGAUGAGGAGGUUGCGGUGGGUCAGUUUUCCCCCUAAACGCAACCAUUCUGCAGCCUAGGACGCUUUUCUAAAUUCUCCCCCGCAGGCCAUUAAAAUUAUACAGGAAACUGAUAUGUAUAUUACAUUCCUCCGUAGGAGCCCUAAAGCAAUAUGUACUUCCCACUGCUUUUUUUUUUUUAAUUCCUGAAAUAAAUUAUUAUCGAAAUAAAAUACAAACUUGACCACUUUGAUUUAGGGGGUAUUCACCCCAGUGUCACUGUUUAAAGACAGCAUAGAUCUGAUCUGGGUUCAAAUUCUGGCUUUACUGCUUCCUAAGCUGUAUGACCUUAGGGAAGUCUCUUAUCCUCUCUGAGAACUCAGUGAAAAGGUGUCUGCAAAAUGAAUCUCCCAACACCGGCUCCCUGCCCACCUCUCCUGCUGAACUGUUCUCACCAUUUAUCUCCGGUAUAUGUUUCAUUUCCUCAUUGUGUUUUUUGUCUCUCUUCCUCACCAGAAGGAAGCUCCAAACUCCAUGCUGUUGUUGCUGUCAGUUGGCUCUGACUCAUGGCAACCUCACAUAUAACGGAACAAAACGUUACCCAGUUCUGCACUGUCUUCGUGGUCACUGAAGAGAAAUCUGAGGCCCUUGAAUGAAGAUGUGGUUGGCCAAGGUUCUCACACAGCCUCCAUCACAAGGACCCACGAAAGCAUGAAAGCAAACAAAACACAUGGAGAUCAUUGGAAAGAAACCCAGACAAGAUAGUUUCCCAAAUACACUGGUUCGAGAACAGUGGAAGGAGGCCAUGCAGGGCAUGGCCUGGGCAGGCCUCUUGAGGAGUUGACAUUUAAACUGAUCCCUGAAAAGGAGCCAGCUGCAGGAAGGGUUUUCAGGCAGAGGGUACAGCGAGCACAAAUGUCCGGAGAUCAUACAGCUAAGAACGGAGGCAGAAUUUGAACUCAAAUUUGAAUCUCUGCACCUAGCCAUGAUUCUAGGUGCCACUGCUGAGGAGAGAGCAGACGUCAGAAGAUGCUAGAUCGCAUAGAAGGUAUGUGUUCAACCUCUUAUGUGUGUGUGCAGGCGCCCGGAGAGGCGUUCAGGUUUUCUGAAUCGGAACUAGGCCAUGCAGUGUAAGGAAGAUUAUUGCCCUGAUUUAUGAAUUUACAUAUUUGAAAUAGCUCACUAAGUAUUAAAAUUCAUUGGCAUUUCCUUGUAUAUUUAAUAAAUUCUCUGUAUUGCAAAGAAUGACCUUUUAGAUGGAAGGAAACAAAUUCAGGAGAGAAGAUGAUCUAAUUGGUUGUUUGUGCUGAAGCCUGGCCUAGAAAGUCUGGAUUCUCUGAAAUAAUGGGACAGCAAGAAUAGGGUUUGUUCCAGGGGAGAACGGGCUGAUUCUUGUGUGUGAAGAGAGGAUGGUGGCCACCGGUGAAAUGGAUGUGUUCACUGGGCUUUUCCAUGUCCAUGUCUCCCUUGUGACAGUUUGUUUCUCUGCCUUUGUUUUGAUUCAUGAUAAAGAUAAUUUGGCAUCAUUUACUGAUUCACCUGCGAUGCGCCAGGACCUUGGCAUGUGUAUCUCCAAGCCUCAUACCACUUCUCUGAGGUUCCAUCGAGUCAGCUCCAACUCAUAGCGACCCCACGUGUAACAGAAGAAAGUGACUCACUGCCAGAUUCUGUCAGAACGAAAUGUGACACAAUAAGAGACAACCCCAUGUGUCGAGAUGUACAUAAAACAUCUGAUGUCACGCACACAGAGGUACCUGCCGUUUCCAGUACUGCUACCAGUUUCUGCCCUCCUGUACAGAAGUUCAGACAAUUCUGUUUCAGCCCGCACUUUGAAGACACUGGUUCAAGUCUUAGUUUGUCCGAGAGUGGAGCAAUGACUUGUCCAGGAUCACAUAACCAGAGCAUCCCAAAAGUAUGUCCCUUGUCUCCCAGCCUAUGAUUCCCUCCUCUGCUCCCUGUGAUGGUCAAUGUUAUGCGUCAACUUGAUUAGGUUAUGAUUCUCAGUGGUUAGACAAACAUUGGACUGAUUCCUCUUUCAUAAAUAAUACAAUGUAGUCACUUCUGUGAUAUCAUCUGAUAUGAUCAGCCAAUCAGUUGUAAGGGGGGUCUCCUCAGGGGUGUGGCCUGCAUCCAGUAUAUAUGGAAGUUCUGGCAAAGCUCUCUGGCUUUUGCUCUGGCCCUUGCAUCUGACUUGUCAUCGUCUGACCUCCGAUGUGGGACUUGAGCCAGCAGUCUGUUUGUCUGACCUGCUGAUCUUGGGUUAAUUAGCCCCUGCAACCAUGUGAGUCAGGAGAAGCCUCCAGCCUGACUCCUGACCCACAGAUUUGGGACUUGCCAGUCUUCACAACUGUGUGAGCCAUUUCCUUGUGAUAAAUCUCUCUAUACAUAUUUGUAUAUAUACACUUCUCUAUUCCCCAUUAAACAUCUCUGCCCUUUGGCUGCCCUUUGCUGUGGGUCUGCUUUUCUGCUGGGAUAGAAGCUGCCUGAGGGCAGGAGUCAUGUCUGCGUGCUUUCCCAGUAAAUGGUGAUUGAAUGAAUGGAAUGAGGAAAAGCAAACACUUCGUCCUUAUCCCGUUCACAUCCAAC